rnacentral:snRNA from 1 species
GUGGCAUCACAUACACUAAAACUGGAAAGAUCAUCAGCAUGACCCUGUGCAAUGAUGACCCUCAAAUUAUGAAGCAUUCCACAUUUUU